CCCAACAGAACUCAGGCACUAUGUUAUCUUGAACAGCCUGCAGAAGGUGCAGUGGCCACAUAGUCUGCAUCAUUACCCCCAAGAGGUCUCCUAAAGGAACAAAACAGGGACAAUUGAAGCAUAUUCUUCUCAAGCAACACAACACUUUUGUGGUGAGAGCUGAAGGAAAUGCAUUGUUUGGAUUAGAAUAUUUUUUUCAUUAACAGGAUGUUCAAAAUAAACAAAAUUCACAGUGAUUCACGGUGCCUGUGGCUGUAUCAGGUUAACACUGGUAUGCUUCCAUACUUGAGCUCAUCUUCACUAAUCAAUCAGAAACACACUUGCUGGCAAGAAAGGUCACAUCAUUAAUCACACAACAGCAAUGUUUUGACAACAAACAGAUAUCUACAUACAGCCAAAUUUCACUCUCAGUUACAGAGGUUUAAUGCGCAACAUACUGAAGACGAUGGGUGCGAGAGAGAGAGAGAGAGAGAUGAAGCUGCAGCGUCUCCCAUAAUUACGCCUGUGUAUACCAGAUGCUGGCAGCAGAAGCCAAUAGCGCUAUGUAGACGCUUUGCUCCAUUGCACUGAGAAGGGAAGGAGAGCAUUACAUCACUCUGCAACUUCCCCUGCAGGCUGUUUGAAGAACAAACAGCAAAUUAAAAGACCCAAGGAGUCCUUUAACCUUCUGACCCCUGUACAGCUCUGUUAGCUAAUAGUUUUUUUAUGCAUAGUGGUCAAUGCUAAAUCCCAGAUUAGAAUUUGUAUAUUACUUAUUUAAGGGCUUGAUCCUGCAGUUUGUACUCAUGUGAGUAAUCCUACAUGCAUGAGUAGUCUCACUGACUCACAUGCAUAGGAAUUACUCAUGUGAGUAAGAGUUGGGGUCUUAAUGGAAUCUAUUCUCCCUCCAAUACAUGCAUUUAAGUCUCAUUUGUGCUCAUGGGAGCUAUGCAUAUUCAACAAGGGGAGAAUAGAUUCCCUUAAUCUGAUUAAAUGCAGGGAAUUUGAUUGUUAUGUUUGAUUUAAUGAUAUGUUGUUGAGGGUAGACUGGGCUGUAAUGUUCAAAUUAUUCUAUGGAUUUAGCCCUUUUAUCUGUGUGAAUUUUCCAGGAACAUCAUAUUUUUUACAUACUUGUUUUUGGUUCCAAAGUUGAUUGCUGAAUUUUUAUAUAAACAAAUUUCAGCCUGGCAGCUGUUUGUGAACUAUGAGCUAUGAUUGCUUCUUUGAGAAUUCUGUGUCCCAAAUAAGAAGAAUUGUUGUGGUAGAUGUCUCAGCCUGUAUACUAUAGAAUUUCAUGGACCCAAGUCAUCACUGCAUUACUCCAGUUUUAUGUCAUAGUAAGUUCACUGAAUGGAGUUACAAUUGUAAAACUGGAGUAAUGUUGUGAUGGAUCAGGCCCAGUGUCCAUUGCUGUGGUGACUGUCCUUCCCACAUACAACAAUAUACUGUAUCUACCAUGCACAUUCAUUGAAUUUGCCAGUCUACGUUUCCUGAAAGAAGCCCUUUAAUGAACACUUGAAGUUCAGUGGGUUUGAUGCUAAUAUUUGCUACAUGUUGGAAUAUCUACCUGUUGGAAAAGUGUAGAAUAUUACACAAUAAAUAUAAAAAAACUGGUCUAGUGCUGACUCAAAAAUCAAUGGAUGAGUGGAUAGGUAACCACCAGUUUAGAAAUGCAGGAAAUCUUUGUAUUAUUGCAAUAAAAGUGGCCCCCAAUUUUUUUUUAAAAAAAUCCUCUGCCAAAGAGAUGGAGAGAGAGAUAUUAAGCCACUGGAAACAUAGACUAAAAAUUGACACAGAGGCUGCAGUGGCUUAAUACAUUCGACAGAGCAAUGACCCAAAAGCAAGUCAUGAACGGAGUCGCCACGUUAAGGGAGUCGUCACAGCAUCACCAAUGUGCAAACAACAUUUCAGAGUUAGGGAGGUCCUUGUGGGACAGCCUAACAGACUUUGGCCUUGCCAUCAUUGUUCCUCCCAGCUUUAGGAAGAGAAACUUGAAGCUAGGAUAACACACAUUUGGCAGGAUACCUAUGUUGCAUCUGACAUUACUGCCUGUGUGUCCAUCACCUUUCACAUAGCUAUACAACACCAACCCACCAGUUGCUCCAAACAAUGCUGAGAGAAUGGCGUUCAUUAGAACAAACAAAUAAAAUGGCUAUAUGACACUUCUAUUGCAAGUAAAAUUUUGUGACACUUUCUGCUUCUACAUACAUUCUUGGAAACAAAUAUUUGCUAGUACAAAUAUCCACAAAAAAGAGAAGGAAAGAGCUAAUGAAUGCUGUUGCAGAAAAAUUCUAAUUAGAAUCCACAAAAUGUUCAUGAAUAAUAUUCCUUCCUAUCUGUCUAGCUCUAGUGCGGAAUACACUUUGCCUUAUGCCAUUACUGACUCCAGGAAACAAUAAGCAAUAUGAAAAUAGAAACAAUUUGGCAAUUAAUUACAUCAUUACCACCCUUUUCAAUUAGGUCCUCUAUUUCUUUGGUAUACUGUAAAAUUUAACUCAUAAUUAUGCUUUAGUUCAUUUUUGUUUAUUUAACACUACAAUAAGAUCAAAACAGAAAGCCAUCAGAAUGCAAAAUGCUAGGUGCAUUUCCAUGUUGUAAAUGUUGUAUUUGAGCUUUUAUAACAAAAUGUAGUAUUUUGUACCAUUCCAUUUAAAAUGUAUCUGGCUAAGCUCCAACACUCUUUCACUGUAAACAGGAACUUCCUUGGAGGACAAAUAAUCACACUUAAUGACAUAAAAGAUUAUAAUGACAUAAAAUAAUGUUCCAAAUACAUAGCAAAAUUAAACAUUGCAAGAUUAUUUUCUUCUUUGAAGUCUUUCACCAGAUGGUGAAAAGUGCUGAAAUCAUAAGUCUGAAUGGGAAGGGAAAAUGUUUCCACAAUCCUUUCUUGAUGCUAGUGUCAGCAUGUAUAAUCUUUACAUGUGGCUAUACAAAAUGGCAGCUCAUACCUUCUUGGAGCCAAGUGUUUGUGCUCAAGAUAAAUUUCCAUUCUGAGGUGUUCUAAUGAAACUUGUUCUGAAUCUGAGGCAGGGAAUCCCCUGAUACAUUUCAUUAGCCAUGUCAACCAGAUCUAGUCAUAAAUGAGAACAAAUAAGCACAUCAGCAGAAGUUACUGGGGUAAUUUGGAAACUGUUACUGACCUAUUUUCAGACACCAUAUAAAGGAAGAGCUGUGUCAUUAAAUUAGUGCACUAUAAUUUUAUUUUGAUACAGAAAUAGAGUUCAUAUUUUAUCAAAAAAAGAUACCCUGAUGCAUCUGUGACUUGAAGAUGUGUGGUUAAAUAGUUAAAUGAAAGAGGGUCUAAUGGCUUCCUUAGAAGAAAGAGCUUAUGCACCUAAUGAGGAUUAGAAAAAAGAAUCUGCCAAUUGCUGUACAGUGUGAAGUGACCACAAAGCAAGAGUGAAUUUGUAUCUCUUAGCACUGUUCACAUUCUUGUCUGAAGAAUUCUACAAAGUUGGCUUCCAUAAUAUUCCAUGGACUGUUUUUGUGGACUUCCUGGUGGAAAAUGUUGCUGAAUAUAGCAUGAUUUUGUAGCAGAAGUGGACAAAAAUUAAUAGCAAUUAAAAAAAUAGACUACAUUGUGCGUAAAUAUUCCCUAGUGCAAGUUAUACGGUAUGGAUGGGAUUUUUAAAAGCUGUCAGCUUUGGCUUAACUCUGCUCUUAUUGAAGCCAAUGGAAAUUUCAGCACUGGCUUCAGCUGGAGCAGAGUUAAGCCAACACUGAGUUCUUUUGAAAAUUCAGCCUCAUUUCUUCAAACUUUCUGACUUUAACAUUUUAGGACUCUAAAGGCCAUAUUGUACCUUAUGUGGCCUAUUGUACAUGUGGCUCAUUGUGCUCAUGGCAUUUCCUAUGAAUUCUUUCCGCUAAGAUUGGGUUUUCUUACUAUUAAAGUAAUAGAUCCCUGCCCUGAUAGCCACAUCUGGAUCUUGAAGGAUCUACAGGACUCACAAGAUUAUGAGCUUGGAGGCUCUAAGCAUCUGCCGUGGCUCCCAAUUUCUAACCUCCCUCCGGGCAGCAUCACUCCUUUAGGAAGCCAAAGACUCCUUUAUGGACUAACCUAUGCAUGGGAGUUCUUAUUCUGAGCUGAAGCUGUUAUGAACUUGUAAUCACAGACUGGUUUGAAGACUAGCUGCUAUCUGAGCCCUUGCUGGAGUUGGGGUGUGUGUGUGUGUGUGUGUGUGUGUGUGUGUGUGUGAGAGAGACCUCCGAUAAGCUUAUUAACAGGUGUGUAGGUUCUUUUAUUGUUUUUAAUAUGUUUUCUAUGUAGUGCCUUAAGAAUAAACCUUAAAAAUAAAUGUGUUUGCUUAGAAAGAGUUGUGUGUUAACCUAUAACUGUGGGCAAUUACACUGUUUAUAGUCUCUGAA